rfam:Haemonchus contortus, ISE/inbred ISE, WGS project CAVP01000000 data, contig: Hcontortus_contig_pathogens_Hcontortus_scaffold_4740
GGCCCAAACUUGAAAUAGAGUAGAUUAGGAGGAUCACCUGACCCUACUGAACUACACUACUUCGAGUUUGUGCCC